CACUGAAGGCUACAACUUUGAGUUUACCUCUCUUCGUCCCCGAGGCCAGGGGCAGUGAGGUAACUUAACAGGAGUCUGGAGUCAUGUAAAUGGAAGGGGCAGGAUUUGAGCAAGAUCAGUGUGGGCAGCCUCCCUCCAAGAGGCCGGCAGCUGUAGUGAAGUGCUUCUCAGGGCCUCACACCUCCCUUGGAGUGCCAUUUGUGGUUCUGUCACUAAAGAAAAAGGACCCCCUGAAAGUGAGAGGAGGAAGAGGUAGGAGACCGAUUAUCUCGUGGCUGAACCUUCUGUCAACGUUUUCGGAAAGAGCAGGGCGCCGUUCAUCCCCAGGAAGGUGGUGAGGCCAGCACAGUACAAGACACGACAGGAUGAACUUCUGGAGCUCUGGCAGAACCAGUCUCACAUUCCUGGGGUGGAGAACGGACACCAUCAUCCGUACCUCGCAGCGUCCUUGUGAAGGUAAAACGAGACUGCAUCUAUCAAGUGCCUGGCAAAGCAUCUAGGAUACAGUAGGUGCUUAAUAAAUAUCAGCGUAGCAGGAUGC